UACGAAGGGGGCGAGCGUUGUUCGGAUUUACUGGGCGUAAAGGGCGCGCAGGCGGUUCUGUUUGUCGAGUGUGAAAGCCCCGGGCUCAACCUGGGAAACCUGCGCUCGAAACGGCAGAACUAGAGUUCGGGAGAGGAGAGUGGAAUUCCCGAGUGUAGAGGUGAAAUUCGUAAGAUAUUGGGAGAACACCGGUGGCGAAGG
rnacentral:rRNA from 1 species